UAAGGAAUAUUGGUCAAUGGACGCAAGUCUGAACCAGCCAUGCCGCGUGGAGGAUGAAGGUCCUCUGGAUUGUAAACUUCUUUUAUCUGGGAAGAAAUCCACGAAUUCUUUUGUGGUUGACGGUACCAGAUGAAUAAGCACCGGCUAACUCCGUGCCAGCAGCCGCGGUAAUACGGAGGGUGCAAGCGUUAUCCGGAUUCACUGGGUUUAAAGGGUGCGUAGGUGGGCAGGUAAGUCAGUGGUGAAAUCUCCGGGCUUAACUCGGAAACUGCCAUUGAUACUAUCUUUCUUGAAUACCGUGGAGGUCAGCGGAAUAUGUCAUGUAGCGGUGAAAUGCUUAGAUAUGACAUAGAACACCAAUUGCGAAGGCAGCUGGCUACACGAAUAUUGACACUGAUGCACGAAAGCGUGGGGAUCAAACAGGAUUAGAUACCCUGGUAGUCCACGCCCUAAACGAUGGAUACUCGACAUACGCGAUAUACUGUGUGUGUCUGAGCGAAAGCAUUAAGUAUCCCACCUGGGAAGUACGAUCGCAAGAUUGA
rnacentral:rRNA from 1 species